rnacentral:rRNA from 1 species
GAUGAACGCUGGCGGCGUGCCUAAUACAUGCAAGUCGAGCGAACAGACGAGGAGCUUGCUCCUCUGACGUUAGCGGCGGACGGGUGAGUAACACGUGGAUAACCUACCUAUAAGACUGGGAUAACUUCGGGAAACCGGAGCUAAUACCGGAUAAUAUAUUGAACCGCAUGGUUCAAUAGUGUAAGACGGUUUUGCUGUCACUUAUAGAUGGAUCCGCGCCGCAUUAGCUAGUUGGUAAGGUAACGGCUUACCAAGGCGACGAUGCGUAGCCGACCUGAGAGGGUGAUCAGCCACACUGGAACUGAGACACGGUCCAGACUCCUACGGGAGGCAGCAGUAGGGAAUCUUCCGCAAUGGGCGAAAGCCUGACGGAGCAACGCCGCGUGAGUGAUGAAGGUCUUCGGAUCGUAAAACUCUGUUAUUAGGGAAGAACAAAUGUGUAAGUAACUAUGCACGUCUUGACGGUACCUAAUCAGAAAGCCACGGCUAACUACGUG